UACGUAGGGCGCAAGCGUUGUCCGGAAUUAUUGGGCGUAAAGAGCUCGUAGGCGGUCUGUCGCGUCUGCCGUGAAAACCCGAGGCUUAACCUCGGGCUGGCGGUGGAUACGGGCAGACUAGAGGUAGGUAGGGGAGAAUGGAAUUCCCGGUGUAGCGGUGAAAUGCGCAGAUAUCGGGAGGAACACCGGUGGCGAAGGCGGUUCUCUGGGCCUUACCUGACACUGAGGAGCGAAAGCGUGGGGAGCGAACAGG
rnacentral:rRNA from 1 species